rnacentral:rRNA from 1 species
UACGAAGGGGGCUAGCGUUGUUCGGAUUUACUGGGCGUAAAGCGCACGUAGGCGGAUCGUUAAGUCGGGGGUGAAAUCCUGGAGCUCAACUCCAGAACUGCCUUCGAUACUGGCGAUCUUGAGUCCGGAAGAGGUGAGUGGAACUCCUAGUGUAGAGGUGGAAUUCGUAGAUAUUCGCAAGAACACCAGUGGCGAAGGCGGCUUACUGGUCCGGUUCUGACGCUGAGGCGCGAAAGCGUGGGGAGCAAACAGG